GUUGUAUAGUCAAGUAAUUAAGUGCAUGUGGUGGAUGCCUUGGCAGUCAGAGGCGAUGAAAGACGUGAUAGCCUGCGAAAAGCUCCGGGGAGGCGGCAAAUAUCCUUUGAUCCGGAGAUGUCUGAAUGGGGGAACCCACCUACUUUAAGGUAGGUAUUGCAACAUGAAUACAUAGUGUUGCAAGGCGAACGAGGGGAAGUGAAACAUCUCAGUACCCUUAGGAAAAGAAAUCAAUUGAGAUUCCCUCAGUAGCGGCGAGCGAACGGGGAUCAGCCCAUUAAGUUAUGUGUGUUUUAGUGGAACGCUCUGGGAAGUGCGAACGUAGAGGGUGAUAUUCCCGUACACGAAAGGGCACACAUAAUGAUGACGAGUAGGGCGAGGCACGUGAAACCUUGUCUGAAUAUGGGGGGACCAUCCUCCAAGGCUAAAUACUCCUGACUGACCGAUAGUGAACCAGUACCGUGAGGGAAAGGCGAAAAGAACCCCUGUGAGGGGAGUGAAAUAGAUCCUGAAACCGCAUGCAUACAAGCAGUGGGAGCACCUUCGUGGUGUGACUGCGUACCUUUUGUAUAAUGGGUCAGCGACUUAUAUUCAGUAGCGAGGUUAACCGUAUAGGGGAGCCGUAGAGAAAUCGAGUCUUAAUAGGGCGUUUAGUUGCUGGGUAUAGACCCGAAACCAGGCGAUCUAUCCAUGAGCAGGUUGAAGGUUGGGUAACACUAACUGGAGGACCGAACCCACUGUCGUUGAAAAGCCAGGGGAUGACUUGUGGAUAGGGGUGAAAGGCUAAUCAAGCCUGGUGAUAGCUGGUUCUCCCCGAAAGCUAUUUAGGUAGCGCCUCGGACGAAUACCAUAGGGGGUAGAGCACUGUUUCGGCUAGGGGGUCAUCCCGACUUACCAAACCGAUGCAAACUCCGAAUACCUAUGAGUACUAUCCGGGAGACAGACUGCGGGUGCUAACGUCCGUAGUCAAGAGGAAAACAAUCCAGACCGCCAGCUAAGGCCCCAAAAUCAUAGUUAAGUGGGAAACGAUGUGGGAAGGCAUAGACAGCUAGGAGGUUGGCUUAGAAGCAGCCACCCUUUAAAGAAAGCGUAAUAGCUCACUAGUCGAGUCGGCCUGCGCGGAAGAUGUAACGGGGCUAAAACUAUGUGCCGAAGCUGCGGAUNNNNNNNNNNNNNNNNNNNNAUGCUGGAGGUAUCAGAAGUGCGAAUGCUGACGUGAGUAACGACAAAACGGGUGAAAAACCCGUUCGCCGAAAGACCAAGGGUUCCAGUCCAACGUUAAUCGGGGCUGGGUGAGUCGACCCCUAAGGCGAGGCCGAAAGGCGUAGUCGAUGGGAAAAUGGUUAAUAUUCCAUUACUUCUGUGUAAUGCGAUGAGAGGACGGAGAAGGCUAAAUCAGCCUGGCGUUGGUUGUCCAGGUGAAAGGAUGUAGGCAUGUAUCUUAGGCAAAUCCGGGGUACUCUAUGCUGAGAUCUGAUAGCAAGCUGUACUUGUACAGCGAAGUGGUUGAUGCCAUGCUUCCAGGAAAAGUCUCUAAGCUUCAGUUACACAGGAAUCGUACCCGAAACCGACACAGGUGGUCAGGUCGAGUAGACCAAGGCGCUUGAGAGAACUCUGCUGAAGGAACUAGGCAAAAUGGUACCGUAACUUCGGGAGAAGGUACGCUGUUGUUGGUGAUGGAACUCGCUUCCUGAGCUGACGACAGCCGCAGAAACCAGGCCGCUGCAACUGUUUAUUAAAAACAUAGCACUCUGCAAACACGAAAGUGGACGUAUAGGGUGUGAUGCCUGCCCGGUGCUGGAAGGUUAAUUGAUGGGGUUAGCGUAAGCGAAGCUCUUGAUCGAAGCCCCAGUAAACGGCGGCCGUAACUAUAACGGUCCUAAGGUAGCGAAAUUCCUUGUCGGGUAAGUUCCGACCUGCACGAAUGGCAUAAUGAUGGCGGCGCUGUCUCCAGCAGAGGCUCAGUGAAAUCGAAAUCGCUGUGAAGAUGCAGUGUACCCGCGGCUAGACGGAAAGACCCCGUGAACCUUUACUGCAGCUUGACACUGAACUUUGACCUUACUUGUGUAGGAUAGGUGGGAGGCUUUGAAGCUGGAACGCUAGUUCCAGUGGAGCCGUCCUUGAAAUACCACCCUGGUAAUGUUGAGGUUCUAACUCUGUCCCGUGAUCCGGGACGAGGACCGUGUCUGGUGGGUAGUUUGACUGGGGCGGUCUCCUCCUAAAGAGUAACGGAGGAGUACGAAGGUGCGCUCAGCGUGGUCGGAAAUCACGCGUAGAGUAUAAAGGCAAAAGCGCGCUUAACUGCGAGACCCACAAGUCGAGCAGGUACGAAAGUAGGUCUUAGUGAUCCGGUGGUUCUGUAUGGAAGGGCCAUCGCUCAACGGAUAAAAGGUACUCUGGGGAUAACAGGCUGAUACCGCCCAAGAGUUCAUAUCGACGGCGGUGUUUGGCACCUCGAUGUCGGCUCAUCUCAUCCUGGGGCUGAAGCAGGUCCCAAGGGUAUGGCUGUUCGCCAUUUAAAGAGGUACGCGAGCUGGGUUUAGAACGUCGUGAGACAGUUCGGUCCCUAUCUACCGUGGGCGCUGGAAAUUUGAGAGGAUCUGCUCCUAGUACGAGAGGACCAGAGUGGACGAACCUCUGGUGUACCGGUUGUGACGCCAGUCGCAUCGCCGGGUAGCUAUGUUCGGAAGGGAUAACCGCUGAAAGCAUCUAAGCGGGAAGCCUACCUCAAGAUAAGAUUUCCCUAGGACUUUAUGUCCUCUAAAGAGCCGUUCGAGACUAGGACGUUGAUAGGUUGGAUGUGGAAGCAUAGUGAUAUGUGAAGCUGACCAAUACUAAUUGCUCGUGAGGCUUGACUAUACAACACCCAAGCAGUUG
rnacentral:rRNA from 1 species